AUACGUAGGGGGCGAGCGUUGUCCGGAAUGAUUGGGCGUAAAGGGCGCGUAGGCGGCGCGGUAAGUCUGGAGUGAAAGUCCUGCUUUCGAGGUGGGAAUUGCUUUGGAUACUGCCGCGCUUGAGUGCAGGAGAGGUUAUCGGAAUUCCCGGUGGAGCGGUGAAAUGCAUAGAGAUCGGGAGGAACACCAGUGGCGAAGGCGGGUAACUGGGCUGCAACUGACGCUGAGGCGCGAAAGUGUGGGGAGCAAACAGGAUUAGAUACCCUGGUAGUCCACACUGUAAACGAUGAAUGCUAGGUGUAAGAGGUAUCGACCCCUUUUGUGCCGGAGUCAACACAAUAAGCAUUCCGCCUGGGGAGUACGGCCGCAAGGUUGAAACUCAAAGGAAUUGACGGGG
rnacentral:rRNA from 1 species